rnacentral:rRNA from 1 species
GAUGAACGCUGGCGGCGUGCCUAAUACAUGCAAGUCGAGCGAAUGGAUUAAGAGCUUGCUCUUAUGAAGUUAGCGGCGGACGGGUGAGUAACACGUGGGUAACCUGCCCAUAAGACUGGGAUAACUCCGGGAAACCGGGGCUAAUACCGGAUAACAUUUUGAACCGCAUGGGUCGAAAUUGAAAGGCGGCUUCGGCUGUCACUUAUGGAUGGACCCGCGUCGCAUUAGCUAGUUGGGGAGGUAACGGCUCACAAAGGCAACGAUGCGUAGCCGACCUGAGAGGGUGAUCGGCCACACUGGGACUGAGACACGGCCCAGACUCCUACGGGAGGCAGCAGUAGGGAAUCUUUCGCAAUGGACGAAAGUCUGACGGAGCAACGCCGCGUGAGUGAUGAAGGCUUUCGGGUCGUAAAACUCUGUUGUUAGGGAAGAACAAGUGCUAGUUGAAUAAGCUGGCACCUUGACGGUACCUAACCAGAAAGCCACGGCUAACUACGUGCCAGCAGCCGCCGUAA